UGGGGAAUCUUGCACAAUGGGGGAAACCCUGAUGCAGCGACGCCGCGUGAACGAUGAAGCCCUUCGGGGUGUAAAGUUCUUUCGACGGGAACGAUAAUGACGGUACCUGGAGAAGAAGCUGCGGCUAACUACGUGCCAGCAGCCGCGGUAAUACGUAGGCAGCGAGCGUUGUUCGGAGUUACUGGGCGUAAAGAGUGCGUAGGCGGCGAGCCAAGUUUGGUGUGAAAUCUCCCGGCUUAACCGGGAGGGUGCGCCGAAAACUGGUUGGCUGGAGUAUGGGAGAGGAAAGCGGAAUUCCUGGUGUAGCGGUGAAAUGCGUAGAUAUCAGGAGGAACACCGGCGGUGUAGACGGCUUGCUAAACCAUAACUGACGCUGAGGCACGAAAGCGUGGGUAGCAAACA
rnacentral:rRNA from 1 species